CCUACGGGUGGCAGCAGUGAGGAAUAUUGGUCAAUGGACGAAAGUCUGAACCAGCCAAGUAGCGUGAAGGAUGACUGCCCUAUGGGUUGUAAACUUCUUUUAUAUGGGAAUAAAAUGUUCCACGUGUGGGAGUUUGUAUGUACCAUAUGAAUAAGGAUCGGCUAACUCCGUGCCAGCAGCCGCGGUAAUACGGAGGAUCCGAGCGUUAUCCGGAUUUAUUGGGUUUAAAGGGAGCGUAGGUGGGUUCUUAAGUCAGUUGUGAAAGUUUGCGGCUCAACCGUGGAAUUGCAGUUGAAACUGGUGGUCUUGAGUACAGUAGAGGUGGACGGAAUUCGUGGUGUAGCGGUGAAAUGCUUAGAUAUCACGAAGAACUCCGAUGGCGAAGGCAGUUCACUGGACUGCAACUGACGCUGAGGCUCGAAAGUGUGGGUAUCAAACAGGAUUAGAUACCCGUGUAGUC
rnacentral:rRNA from 1 species